rnacentral:rRNA from 1 species
GCAGCAGUGGGGAAUAUUGCACAAUGGGGGAAACCCUGAUGCAGCCAUGCCGCGUGUGUGAAGAAGGCCUUCGGGUUGUAAAGCACUUUCAGUAGGGAGGAAAGGGUGAGUCUUAAUACGGCUCAUCUGUGACGUUACCUACAGAAGAAGGACCGGCUAACUCCGUGCCAGCAGCCGCGGUAAUACGGAGGGUCCGAGCGUUAAUCGGAAUUACUGGGCGUAAAGCGUGCGCAGGCGGUUUGUUAAGCGAGAUGUGAAAGCCCUGGGCUCAACCUAGGAAUAGCAUUUCGAACUGGCGAACUAGAGUCUUGUAGAGGGGGGUAGAAUUCCAGGUGUAGCGGUGAAAUGCGUAGAG